rnacentral:rRNA from 1 species
AACGAACGCUGGCGGCAGGCUUAACACAUGCAAGUCGAACGCCCCGCAAGGGGAGUGGCAGACGGGUGAGUAACGCGUGGGAAUCUACCCAUCUCUACGGGAUAGCUCCGGGAAACUGGAAUUAAUACCGUAUACGUCCUGAGGGAGAAAGAUUUAUCGGGGAUGGAUGAGCCCGCGUUGGAUUAGCUAGUUGGUGGGGUAAAGGCCUACCAAGGCGACGAUCCAUAGCUGGUCUGAGAGGAUGACCAGCCACAUUGGGACUGAGACACGGCCCAAACUCCUACGGGAGGCAGCAGUGGGGAAUAUUGGACAAUGGGCGCAAGCCUGAUCCAGCCAUGCCGCGUGAGUGAUGAAGGUCUUAGGAUUGUAAAGCUCUUUCAGUGGGGACGAUAAUGACGGUACCCACAGAAGAAGCCCCGGCUAACUUCGUGCCAGCCGCCGCAGUAAAAC